UUCCAACAUUUGAUGAGCAGUCAUUUCCACAGUGCCACGGACCUUUUUUCCACCGAUUAUUCUUUUUUAUAUUUCUUUUUGAACAGUAGCAGGACUUGGACUCGUUUGUAUUUGAUUUAUUCUUGAGUAAAAUUGUCCAACUAUCACAUAUAAGUGAAACCAGACGCAUCUACAAGGAAGACUUCAAGGCAGAGAUAUAAUUCAUCCUGUAGUUCAGUCCUCUGUGCACUGAGACCUUAGAACAAAGAAACAAGGGGUGACAACAACAUGAAUUACUACAACAGUAAGGUCAGAUCUUGGCAAGGUAAGGACCGAAGAAAGCAGUCAAAGUCAGUCCAGGAUAGAGCAUGUGGUGCUGGGUCAGAACUGCUCUUAUCAACAGAAGGAGUGACUGAAGAUGAAAAGACACUGGUCAAAAGACUGAAGCAGCAAUUCAAGUCA